AAAUACCAAAAUGGCCGACGACUGCAACGUCAAAGCAUAAUUGCAUAAAUAAAGUUGUAAAGAGCAAUUUCAGUAGUUGAAGUCAAAUAAAAGUGGAUACUAAUUGUCUACAAGUCAUUCUGAUUAUCUAGAGAUGGCAAUAAUAUCCGAUUUUCUUAUUUUUGGGUAAUUUAUUAUAAAUAUGAUUCACAUUUGUAUUUGAACAAUGAAACAUUCUGAUGGAAUAAUAUCUGGUUUUCGAAUGUUGUUGUGUUCCUUUUGAAUUUUUACUUGUUCAGAGUUCAAUAUAAUGGUGAUUUUAUUUAACAGAACUCUUUUGGUGAAUGCUUGCGCUGUUCUUAACUUUAAACUGUAAGUAUGUGCACGGUAAGAAGUAUGAACAGAUCUUACAGAUGAACUAUGAAGUGGUAUUUUAUUAUAAUGUAGAA